rnacentral:rRNA from 1 species
GCGAGUGAAGCGGCAACAGCUCAAAUUUGAAAGCUGGCUUAGGCCCGCAUUGUAAUUUGCAGAGGAUGCUUCUGGCGAGGUGCCUUCCGAGUUCCCUGGAACGGGACGCCAUAGAGGGUGAGAGCCCCGUAUGGAUGGACACCAGACCUGUGUGAAGCUCCUUCAACGAGUCGAGUAGUUUGGGAAUGCUGCUCUAAAUGGGAGGUAAAUCUCUUCUAAAGCUAAAUAUUGGCCAGAGACCGAUAGCGCACAAGUAGAGUGAUCGAAAGAUGAAAAGCACCUUGAAAAGGGGGUUAAACAGUACGUGAAAUUGUUGAAAGGGAAGCGCUUGUGACCAGACUUGCGCCGGGCAGCUCAUCAGGGGUUCUCCCCUGUGCACUCUGCCCGGCUCAGGCCAGCAUCGGUUCUUGUGGGAGGAUAAGAACGGUAGGAACGUGGCCCCCCUCCGGGGGGGUGUUAUAGCCUGCCGUACGAUACUCCCGUGGGGACCGAGGUUCGCGCUCCGCAAGGAUGC